AUUGAACGCUGGCGGCAGGCUUAACACAUGCAAGUCGAGCGGAGUGAUGGUGCUUGCACUAUCACUUAGCGGCGGACGGGUGAGUAAUGCUUAGGAAUCUGCCUAUUAGUGGGGGACAACAUCUCGAAAGGGAUGCUAAUACCGCCUACGUCCUACGGGAGAAAGCAGGGGAUCACUUGUGACCUUGCGCUAAUAGAUGAGCCUAAGUCGGAUUAGCUAGUUGGUGGGGUAAAGGCCUACCAAGGCGACGAUCUGUAGCGGGUCUGAGAGGAUGAUCCGCCACACUGGGACUGAGACACGGCCCAGACUCCUACGGGAGGCAGCAGUGGGGAAUAUUGGACAAUGGGGGGAACCCUGAUCCAGCCAUGCCGCGUGUGUGAAGAAGGCCUUAUGGUUGUAAAGCACUUUAAGCGAGGAGGAGGCUCUUCUGGUUAAUACCCAAGAUGAGUGGACGUUACUCGCAGAAUAAGCACCGGCUAACUCUGUGCCAGCCGCCGCCGUAA
rnacentral:rRNA from 1 species